rnacentral:rRNA from 1 species
CCUACGGGUGGCUGCAGUGAGGAAUAUUGGUCAAUGGCCGAGAGGCUGAACCAGCAACGCCGCGUGAAGGAAGAAGGCUUUCGGGUUGUAAACUUCUUUUGUCCGGGAAGAGUAGAAGACGGUACCUGACGAAUAAGCCACGGCUAACUACGUGCCAGCAGCCGCGGUAAUACGUAGGUGGCAAGCGUUGUCCGGAUUUACUGGGUGUAAAGGGCGUGUAGCCGGGUUGACAAGUCAGAUGUGAAAUCCUGCGGCUUAACCGCAGAACUGCAUUUGAAACUGUUGAUCUUGAGUACUGGAGAGGCAGACGGAAUUCCUAGUGUAGCGGUGAAAUGCGUAGAUAUUAGGAGGAACACCAGUGGCGAAGGCGGUCUGCUGGACAGCAACUGACGGUGAGGCGCGAAAGCGUGGGGAGCAAACAGGAUUAGAUACCCUUGUAGUC